rnacentral:rRNA from 1 species
UACAGAGGUCUCGAGCGUUAGGCGGAAUCACUGGGCUUAAAGCGUGUGUAGGCGGGCGGGCAAGUACCUUGUGAAAUCCCACGGCUCAACCGUGGAACUGCUGGGUAUACUGCCUGUCUUGGGCCAGCCAGGGGCAGUCGGAACAGACGGUGGAGCGGUGAAAUGCGUAGAUAUCGUCUGGAACGCCAAAGGUGAAAACAGACUGCUGGGGCUGUGCUGACGCUGAGACACGAAAGCCAGGGGAGCGUACGGG